AGAGCGCAAAGCCAAGGGACUAGCUUGGUUUGGCUCCUUCGAAAACUGGACUAUAUUUCCGCACAGAACUUCUACAAAAACUGAGGUUUGUCUGCAUUAAUCAUGGAAAGCUGAGAAAAACAGCGACUCCCGUCGUUCGCUUCAAAGAGCCGACUCGAAGAGCCGUUUCGUUCGCGACCCACACAUCCCCAAUGGCACUCAUUACAAGUACAGGUGAAGCACGUGCUGGGUUCGGGCACUCGAUUCCGCGGAGUGAUACAACAGAGCGCAGAACCAAGGGACUAGUUUGGUUUGGUCUCCUACGAAAACUGGACUACAUUUCGGCACAAAACUUCGACAAAAACUGAGGGAUAAAAAAAAACAACAACAACAACAAAAAAACGAGUUCAGCCAAAAUGGCCGCCAUUGACUUUGAUCAUCACCCGCCAAUUCAUCACCGUGAUGAUGGAGUACAAGAGGAUGAAAUGAAGUGUGUGAAUAGGAGAGACAAAUGGACAAAAACUGUGGAUGAUUGUCGUCAGGUAGGACAGAAGAGGCUUGGGUUGUGUGUCAGUGGGCCGCCUGGGAACGAUGUGUGUGUGUGUGAGUGUGUGUUUUGUCUUCAGAAAUGGAGAUCAAUUUCCACAUGGCUUUUAAAGGCUCUGACAGGAGAAUAACAUGGAAGUGUGUGUAUGUUUUUAUUGUGUGUGUGUGUCUGGACUGUAGUGUACAUAUAUUGUGUGUGUGUGUGUGUGUGUGUGUGUGUGUGUGUUUGAGGGUGGUCCAGACCCCCAUCUCUCAGCAAAUCAGCAGGCCUGAAAAUCCAAUCUGCCCAGAGAGACAGCAAGCUGUACAUCAUCUGCCAGGGAUGGACACUAUCAGUUCUUUAUCAGCUACGCCCCCCCUCCCCCAAAAACACACACACACACACACACACACACACCAUGUCACUACUCUUGCUUAGGUAUCGUUUAGACAUCAAUGAAAUACCAAAUUGUCAGUUUUUCAUUAUUUGUAUUACAUUUAUUUUAUAAUGUGUAUUUUAUUUUUUAUAUUGGUUUUCCCCAAACAGUGAGAUUUUCAUGCUAUGUUCAUCAGUCCUUGAACGCACCACAGUUGUGACACAGAUUCUCUUUGCUCAUCUUGUGAGAUUUCCUACUUUGUUCUAUGGUCCUUGAAUGCAGCACAGUUGUGACACAGAUUCUGUAAUGUUCAUGCAUCAUUUUCAGUGUAUCACUGUUAAAAAGCCCACCAAUUUAAAAUGUUUUUUUAACGCUUCAUUUAUGCUGCUUUUUCAUCAAGAGGUAAGAUUUCCUACUUUGUUCCAUGGUCCUUGAACGCAUUACAGUUGUGACACCGAUUCUGUCUGUUCAUGCAUCAUCUUGUGUGUAUCACUGUUAAAAAGCCCACCAUUUGAAAAUGUUUUUUAACUCCUCACUUAUGCUGCUUUUUCAUCAAGUGGUGAGAUUUCCUACUUUGUUCUAAUGGUCCUUGAAUGCAUUACAGUUGUGACACCGAUUCAGUCUGUCCAUGCAUCAUCUUGUGUAUCGCUGUUAAAAAGCCCACCAUUUAAAAUUGUUUUUAACGCUUCAAUUAUGCUGCUUUUUCAUGAAGUGAUGAGAUUUCCUACUUUGUUCCAUGGUCCUUGAGCGCACCAUAGUUAUGUGCUUUGACACAGAUUCUGUCUGUUCAUGCAUGAUUUUGUGUGUAUCAAUGUGAAAAGCCCACCAUUUGAAAAUGUUUUUUAACGCUCCACUUAUGCUGCUUUAUCAAGUGGUGAGAUUUCCUACUUUGUUCCAUGGUCCUUGAGCGCACCAUAGUUAUGUGUCGUGACACAGAUUCUGUCUGUUCAUGCAUCAUCUUGUGUGUAUCACUGUUAAAAAGCCCACCAUUUCUAAUUUUUUUUUGUGAGAUUCCACACUUAACUAGUCAGUCCUUGAACACACCAUAAGUUGUGUGCCGUGACUCCGACUCCAUCCUAUGUGUAGCAGUUAGAAAGACAAGUUGUUAUCUUUAUGCUUCGUCCAGCACUAUCAUUCCGUACUUUUUUCAUUGGUCCUUGAACGCACCGUAGUUGUGUAGCGUGACUCCUGAUUCCAUCUGUUCAGGCAUCAUCUUACAUGUACCCCUGUCAGAAAGCCCACAAUUAUUACAUUUUUAGGUCUUUAUGCUUUACAGAUAAUGUUUUUUGUCAGGCGCUGAGAUUUCGUACUUUGUUCUAUGGUUUCAAAUGCAUCAUAGUGGUGUGCCAUGACUCUGAUUCUGUGUGUUCUUGUAUCAUUUGCCAUUAUAAUUCACCAGUGGUGUUUAAAUGCGUUUAAUACGGGAUUUUCUUUCUCGCUAGAUGACAAUUUUUUGGCUUAAUAUUUUGACUAAAUUCUUGGAAAAUUACUGAUUUUACCAUUUUUUACUUUCUUGUUAAAUGAACCCAUGCAGCUAUGAAAAGAUGACCAAGUAAAGCGAUAUUAAAUCGUGUUUCACACUUUAUUCAUAGAAAAGCACUGAGUUUCCAACACAAAUCAAUAUAAAAUGGUAGUAGCGUUACAUAAAUAGUCAUAAAUUCUCGCUUUAUAGACAGUAGCUCAAGAAUUUGCACAAAAAAAUGACAAAUAAAAAAAAAAUGUGGCUGUUAAGCUAUGAUACUUCUGUGGCAGCAAAUACUGGAAAUACCUUUUAAAAAAAAAAAAAAAAAAAAAAAAAAAAAUUACAAAUCAGUAGCACAAAGAGGCAACCAACACUUUGAAAAUUCCCUCACGUUGGAAAAGAAAGCGUGGGAGAGAGCGGGUGAACUACGAACCAUCGCUACCGGCAAAGGAAACCACGUAAGAACGCGGCGAGUACGUUGCUUACGUUUCUUUCUGAGGCUCGUGUUCCUCACGCUUACAUAAAACCCCCAACUUCCGCCUUCCCGACGAUGCGGCAUCGUCUCAAACCCAGGAUAUAGAUGCGUACAAACCCAGGAUAUAGAUGCGUACAAACCCAAGGCGAGGUUAAAAAAACGACUCGUUCCGUCUCUCACGACGGCGUGAAAAGACACAAAAGGCUUUUGAAGUCCUGAUUGGAGCGAAGCGACAAAGCAGAAAAUCAACUUUGUACAUUGACAGGUCAAGAAAGGCAUUUUUUUUUUCACGCCCUCUCCUCCCCAAUGCUGCAGCACGCUAGCUGUUAGUGCAUCCUUCACCCGCAAAGCAUGCUGGACUGGGCUCGGCUGCCCCCAUUUCCCCCUUCCGUUCAUAGUGGUUCAGUCCACUCCUUUUUUAAAAAAGUCCACCCGAGUGGUUCUGCAUAGUCUGGUUUCAUGAGCAUCUGUCCCCAUUUUACACAAUUACAGUCAAACGCUUCUUUUUGGACUUUUUUUUUCUUUGCAAAUCUAAAAACAAAUCAACAUAAAAUCAAAAAUAAUAAGAGUAAAUAUAGCAAAACGGACAAAAAGAAAUGUACACAGGAGCACCUGAGAAAUGCCUUGAAGUCUUUUGCUCUUAGAAAAACAAAAAAUCCCCCCCCCCCCACACACACAUCCAAAACAGUUCACUCCCACCACAAACAAAACACAACAUACGUAUCAUAAAUAAUUAUCAUUUUACAAUUUUUCUCAAUUGACACUUUUUCAUAUUUACAAUACUUUAAAUGCUACUACUUUUUUUUUCUCCUUUUGUUUUGUUUCUUUAAGUGAUGUCCCUGAGAACUAAGGUUAGCCUCUUGUUUUCCUUUUCAUUCUUCGGUGUUUCUUCAAUAGCAAAACAUACAAGACAAAAA